rnacentral:rRNA from 1 species
UACGAAGGGGGCUAGCGUUGUUCGGAAUUACUGGGCGUAAAGCGCGCGCAGGCGGUCUUCCAAGUCAGUGGUGAAAGCCCGGAGCUCAACUCCGGAACUGCCAUUGAAACUGUGAGACUUGAGGAUGAGAGAGGUGAGUGGAAUUCCUGGUGUAGCGGUGAAAUGCGUAGAUAUCAGGAGGAACACCUGUGGCGAAAGCGGCUCACUGGACCAUAACUGACGCUGAUGCACGAAAGCUAGGGGAGCAAACAGG